rnacentral:rRNA from 1 species
GAUGAACGCUGGCGGCGUGCCUAAUACAUGCAAGUCGAGCGAACGGACGAGAAGCUUGCUUCUCUGAUGUUAGCGGCGGACGGGUGAGUAACACGUGGAUAACCUACCUAUAAGACUGGGAUAACUUCGGGAAACCGGAGCUAAUACCGGAUGAUAUUUUGAACCGCAUGGUUCAAAAGUGAAAGACGGUCUUGCUGUCACUUAUAGAUGGAUCCGCGCUGCAUUAGCUAGUUGGUAAGGUAACGGCUUACCAAGGCAACGAUGCAUAGCCGACCUGAGAGGGUGAUCGGCCACACUGGAACUGAGGCACGGUCCAGACUCCUACGGGAGGCAGCAGUAGGGAAUCUUCCGCAAUGGGCGAAAGCCUGACGGAGCAACGCCGCGUGAGUUAUGAAGGUCUUCGGAUCGUAAAACUCUGUUAUUAGGGAAGAACAUAUGUGUAAGUAACUGUGCACAUCUUGACGGUACCUAAUCAGAAAGCCACGGCUAACUACGUG